rnacentral:ncRNA from 2 species
CAAGAUCUAGGUGAUGGGGUACCACCUUUAACCGCCCUUUUUUGGUGCUGAUGACUCCUGCUUCAAC